UGACCUCAAGCGAUCCACCCACCUCAGCUUCCCAAAGUGCUGGGAUUACAGGUGUAAACCACCGUGCCCUUCUGGGCCUUGGUUCAGUUUAAUGGGAAAUGGUGUUAAAAGACCGGUAAACUGGGCACCAAGAAUGCUCACUGCGCUGUUGUUAGUGCCUGUAGUUUUCUGAAAGGACAAAGCUAGGGAAUAUGAGUUUUUUAAGAGAAAAAUGAAAUGGAAAAAUUGUUUCCAGUUAAUUUAGAAGAUUUCAGUUUUUCUUUGAUUUUAAUUUUUGUAUCCUAUUUCUCUUAUGCUGAAAAAUCUUAGUUCCUGAUUACAUUAGCAAUUGUUUGCAUUGCAUUUUAUACAUUUUAGAUAGAUAGACUAAGUUUGUUAAUGCUUUUAAAAUAACAAUACCACUAUUAUUAGUAGCAAUACUGAAUUUAUUUUAAAAUUUCUUUUUUUUUUUUUUGUCCAAAUGCCCAAUAUUUACAGUCAAAAUACUGGGUUUCAUAAAAGUCACUUAAAAUAAUCCUUUUCUGUGUCAACCUGACCUACAGUUGGGUUCAUUUAUUUCAUUUUCAUUUUUAGUUGUUUAGCAUUUUUAAUUUUGUUUUCAUAAUUAUGUAAAACAUUUACAUAAUUCCAAAGUCAAUAUUGCAAAACGUGAGCACUGAAGCAUUUCAAGGUAAAUAUAUAUCUGAGGUAUUUAAAGAUAAAUAUAGACUUCAUGACAUUUUACCCCUAAAUAUUUCCACAUGCAUCUCUGAAAAAUUGAAAUAUUUUCUUACUAAUCCCAAGUCCAUUAUCAUAACUAAAUAAUUAAUAGUACUUUUUCAACAUCAUCUAAAAACUUCUAUUAACCUUCUUUAAUUGUGGCAAAUGUCCUUUUUUGCUGGUUUAUGCAAAUCAAGUAAUGCUGAAUGCAUUUGGUUAUGAAUCAUAAAUUUAUUUUUAUCCUACCAUAGUUCCUCUGUUACUACUAUUUUUUUCAUGACACUGACUUUGAAGAGACCAAACUACUUUUCCUACAGACAUCAUUUACAUUUCCCUAAUUGCUUCUUUUUGGUGUCACUAUACUUACUCCUUCAACUGGAUUCUCUACAAAUUUAAGGUUAUAGCUAAUGACUUGAUUAGAUGCAGAUGCAAGUUAAAUUGUAUGAGGAGGAGCACCUGGGUCAUGUAUUUGAUUGCUUAAUAGAAGAUGCUUCUGUUUGACACUAAGCGGAGGUCAUCAGCUGCUAGAGAGGCAGGAGGUGUUUUCUUAAAAGGAAUUGAAUCAGGGUCCAGGAUGAGUUUUCUAAUGGAGUCCUUUGCCCUUUCUCCUGCCUCACAUUUUCCCUCUUCUGGGUAUGUACUGAGAUGAGCAGGAUGGGGAUGGUCUUGUUGCAUGAGCUUGCCGGUCUGGAACCCGCCUCAGUCUUCCGCAGCCCAUGUGUCUCCCUUCACCUCCCACUGCAAGGUCCACCUGCACUGAAGCAGGAUGGGUGCCCACUUCCAGAUCCUUGUUUCCAGCUGUUCAGGUGGCAAAGACUUCAA